UCUUUUUGAUUUAGUCAUUGCAUUUCACUUUACGUAUCUUUAUUUCUUCAUAUUUUAUUAGCUACCUAGCUCAUUCUAAAUAACAUUUAAUAGAAAAUUUUAAGUUAGCAUAGACUAAAAUCAAUUUUUCUUAAACUUAGGAGUCUUUGUAAAUUCGGAACUUAAUUUAUUUUUCAUUAUGGUUAAACUUCUAAAUAAACUUUCUUACAUAUAAAACACUAAACUAGUAUUUGUUUGUUUAUUUUUUUAUUUAUUUCAAGGUCUUGCUAUUUGGCUUGAGUUGGCCUCCAAAGUCCAUGCAGACCAGGUUGGUCUUGAAUGCUAGAUUUUCCUGCUUCAGGCUCCUAAUUUCUGGGCUGACAGACUUGCACCACUAUGCCUGACUUAAAACCCUGCCUUUAACUCAUUGGGCCAAUAAUGAAAGCAUGACACUUUUUACCUGAAAGUCUUUGGCUCUCCAUUCCUCUAACACUGCCUUCAUUCCAAUGCUCUAAUAUUUUUACGGUGUGGAAUAUGUAGAGAUGGGUAGUCCUGGUGACCUGCUAACUAUGAAAUUGGUCCUGUGCAGUAAGAAAGGGGUAACUGAAUCAGUAUGAACCUGUUUAAGUUUUUUGUUAGAUUAACUUUUCAAACAACAAAUUACUCCAAACAACUUUCUUUCCUUGAGCCACACUGCAUUAAUGAAGGACAUUCAUCAAUAACGCAGCCCAUUCUCUGUUAUAACUCUAGUUACCCAUUGGAUAACACAACUGCUAUGGAUUAGCAAUGCAUAUUAAGAAAAUUUGCUAACAGGAUCUUAUUCUCAUCCUAAUUUUUAGCAUGGGGUUUUAUUACUGAGUUAUCAUAACUCAUUGUUACUGCCAAAACAACAGCAUUAUCCCAAUGACACGUUUUUUGUAUCAAGGUUAAUUUAAAGUGAUUAGCAUAUGCGGUAGGGAUGUUGCUAUGGGGAUAAGAACUACACAUCUUCUGUGAUGGGCAGAAUAUGAUUGCUACUGCGGCCCUACUAAAAUUGGAUUAUUUGUUUUAAUGUCAUGAGGAACAAGUCACACGAUAGAGAUCAGUAUCUCUUAAAUAGCAUCCCACACUCCUCAAUCAAUCAUCUUUUCAUGUCUUCAGAAUGCUGUGCAUAUGAAAAUCACUACUUUAUUAUCCGCCUAGGAAAGUUUAUCAUGAUGUAUUUGGAUGUUCAGAAGAUUUCUUUUAAUUACUAUUGAUUCUCCCAUCUCCCAGGAGGGUAAGUAGCAGUAGUUAAAGGCAGAGUGCUUAUUCAACUUUAAUUCAUUCAUCAAACAUUCAUUGAGAGCUUGCUGUUUGGGUGUGAUAUUUUCUAUAUGCUGACAAGAAGAUGAAAUAUUGUAGGACAUAUUUCCUCCUCCUCUUCCUUUUUAUUCCUCCUCCUCGUCCCCCUUUAAGUCUUUCUCUUCUUCCUCUUUCUACGCAUCUUAUCAUCUUUUUGAAUAUAAAUUUAGAAAGGCAUGGCGAUGCUACCUCCUAUAAUAUUUCUCUUGUGUCCUCAGAAGAAAUGAUUGACUGUACUUUGUACCACAUUCAUUGAUAGAAACUUGAGAUUAGUGUACUUAGUGAUUUUUUUUUAUAAAGCUGUUAUUUUAGUAUACCAAAUGGAACACGGAAUAUCUCUGAGUCUUUGAAUAGUCCAUCAAGAAACACUUAUCCUGGAGUUUAUUUUCUAUGCAUCGGUUUCCAUAUAUGACCAUAGAAAUUGGCUGUAUGGUCCUUAGAGAUAGUGGAAUCCUCUAGUGUCAGACCAUUUCAUGCUCAAAUGGGCUCAACAACUGAAAAAUAAUUCUAGGUCUGUUGUCACUAAUCUGCAUAAAGCUCCUACUACUCUAAGAUGUCAGUUGUCUAUGUGGCAUCUUCCAGAUAUUUGAAAUAAUGCAUGAAAUACCAAAUUUCAUGUACAUAAAACUCAUUUUAUCCACAGAUCAUGUGCCCUUCCCUCUUUGUCAUUUUAUAAUAUUCUCCUCAUAAUCUUAAGCAGUUGAAAAUGCCUGUCAACUUUUCACAUAUUUAGUAUAAAUAAGGUAACAACCUCAUGAUUAUUAUAAAAUUCUUGAAGUAGCCAAAUAGUUUGUUCCAUGUUUCUUAACUAUAUUUAUUUUAAUAAGCUUUCAUCUUUUAUACUUUACUAUACUCUCCUUUAAUAUGCUUUCAUUUUAAUUUGAAUAUUAUUAUAUUCUGCUUUGAAAACAUAUGACUACAACUCCUUUAAAAUGUAGCAUUGCAGUGUCUCUUAACAGCAUUGUGCCUUCUCAUGUGACACAUUAUCUUUCAAAGAAUCACCCAGAACACUAAAAUUGAAUUCCAGAUCUAGGGAAUAAAAUGGAUAAUGAUACUGAUUUGGAUCACCAGCCCAUAAAUUUAAUGACAGGUUGGAAACAAAUUUUACAUUGUUACCAAAUAUGCUCCAAAAAUAUCAUUUUUAAAAUUUCUAUUAGGCAUGAAAUAGAUAUGAUUUUGCAUACUCAUUGACAUUUAGGACACAAUCAACGAGGACAUUCAUUAUGGCACUUAGAAUAGUACUGCUAUAAUGUGAAGUGAUGAACACAGGAGGGGACCACCUCCACUUGUACCAUUGAAAGAUGUUAUGUUUUAACACAUCUGGUAUAUUGUUAACCUGCAAGUAAUUAUGAAAACCCCAUUUCCAAUUUGUGUUAAGAAAGAGAUAAAAGGAACACAAACUCUUUACAGACUUGGGAUAUUGAGGAAUAAACAUCUUGAGAAACAACAUUAGAAUACAGUAUAGUAAGUAUUGUACUAAAGAGCCCCAACAUAGGCCACAUAAAACAUGUGUCUGGUUUUCAUGUGGAAUCCAGUCAGGAAGACAAUGCAGUACAAAUUGAAGCUAAUUUUAAGUUGUAUUUAGGGACACUGGUAGACAAGACUGUUAGAAAAAAGUUAGUUAGGUCUUAAUAACAGGCUCGGGGGAAGAGGAAGGUGCAAUCAGAAAAGCAGGAGAAAAAAACGUACCUCUACAGUAUCAUAGAAGCUAAGGGUUGGUGUGAACCAAGAAAAGCGAUCAUUUCAUUUGGAUUUUAUCUACUGAAAAUUGCGAAAAGAUUGGUAAAUUUAAUGACCAUAGGUCAUUGUGAACUUGGAGCUUCAUUGGAGUCUAAGGACCAAAAGAAAGAUAAUUCUUAAUAGACACACAAAAUGUGACCUUCAGUGAAUCAUUGUGAUUUGUCUCCUUAUGGGCUCUGUGCAUCCGGGUAAAUGUUGAAGGUAUUUUUCAUCUCUAUAAUGACAGAUUAAAUGGGAGUGGCUGAGUUAAGUCUUACUGAACUUUGUAAAGAUCAUCACAGAUUUGUCAUUUUUGUUCAUCUUAGCAAUGAACUUUUGUCUAACUGCCAUAUAUUAAAAUUCUUUAUAUUUCCAUAACCCCUGAAAAAUAAGUGCUGAU
rnacentral:lncRNA from 1 species